rnacentral:rRNA from 1 species
AACGGCGAGUGAAGCGGCAACAGCUCAAAUUUGAAAUCUGGCGCCUUCGGCGUCCGAGUUGUAAUUUGUAGAGGAUGUUUCGGCGAGGGCUCCCGUCUAAGUCCCUUGGAACAGGGCGUCGCAGAGGGUGAGAAUCCCGUAUGUGAUGGGUUGCUCGAGCCAUGUGAAACUCCUUCGACGAGUCGAGUUGUUUGGGAAUGCAGCUCUAAAUGGGAGGUAAAUUUCUUCUAAAGCUAAAUACCGGCCAGAGACCGAUAGCGCACAAGUAGAGUGAUCGAAAGAUGAAAAGCACUUUGGAAAGAGAGUUAAAAAGUACGUGAAAUUGUUGAAAGGGAAGCGCUUGCAACCAGACUCGCGCGCAGUUGCUCAGCCGGUCUCCUGACCGGUGUACUCUUCUGCGUCCGGGCCAGCAUCAGUUCGGGCGGUCGGAUAAAGGCCUCGGGAAUGUGGCUCCCCUCGGGGAGUGUUAUAGCCCGGGGUGCAAUGCGGCCAGCCUGGACUGAGGAACUCGCUUCGGCUAGGAUGCUGGCGUAAUGGUUGUAAGCGGCCCGUCUUGAAACACGGACCAAGGAGUCUAACAUCUAUGCGAGUGUUUGGGUGUCAAACCCAUGCGCGUAAUGAAAGUGAACGGAGGUGGGAACCCUCACGGGUGCACCAUCGACCGAUCCUGAUGUCUUCGGAUGGAUUUGAGUAAGAGCAUAGCUGUUGGGACCCGAAAGAUGGUGAACUAUGCCUGAAUAGGGUGAAGCCAGAGGAAACUCUGGUGGAGGCUCGCAGCGGUUCUGACGUGCAAAUCGAUCGUCAA